AGAUUAAAAAAGCUAAGCCUAAGUGGACUCGUAAUUAUUUAAUUAGUUCUGUUAGCUUACCUGACCAAUCCAAUUAGUAUCUAAGACAAGCAACGGGGGGACUCCCAUAACCCCACCUUUUAUCUGACUAAUUAAAGGAAGUGAGAACAGACCCAACUUGCAUCUAGAUUGAGCCACUCUACAUCAAACUAUUAGGUCUA
rnacentral:lncRNA from 1 species